rnacentral:rRNA from 1 species
UUCGCCCGGGUACAACGAGCCCCAGCUUAAAACCCAAAGGACUUGGCGGUGCUUUAGACCCCCCUAGAGGAGCCUGUUCUAGAAUCGAUUUUCCCCGUUCAACCUCACCCCCUCUUGUUCUUCCCGCCUGUAUACCGCCGUCGUCAGCUUACCCUGUGAAGGUAAAGUAGUAAGCACAAUUGGCACAGCCCAAAAAGUCAGGUCAAGGUGUAGCGUAUGAGGGGGGAAGAAAUGGGCUACAUUUGCUGACCCAGCAAAUACGGAUGUUGCACUGAAACAAGCAUCUGAAGGAGGAUUUAGUAGUAAGGGGAGAUUAGAGAGCUCCCCUGAAACCGGCCCUGAAGCGCGCACACACCGCCCGUCACUCUCCCCGAUGAACCUAGUAAGAUAAAUAAUAACGCAACAGACACUAAGGGGAGGUAAGUCGUAACAUGGUAAGUUUACCGGAAGGUGAGCUUGGAUUAAACC